CCUACGGGAGGCAGCAGUGGGGAAUAUUGCACAAUGGGCGCAAGCCUGAUGCAGCCAUGCCGCGUGUGUGAAGAAGGCCUUCGGGUUGUAAAGCACUUUCAGCGGGGAGGAAGGCGGUGAGGUUAAUAACCUCGUCGAUUGACGUUACCCGCAGAAGAAGCACCGGCUAACUCCGUGCCAGCAGCCGCGGUAAUACGGAGGGUGCAAGCGUUAAUCGGAAUUACUGGGCGUAAAGCGCACGCAGGCGGUCUGUCAAGUCGGAUGUGAAAUCCCCGGGCUCAACCUGGGAACUGCAUUCGAAACUGGCAGGCUAGAGUCUUGUAGAGGGGGGUAGAAUUCCAGGUGUAGCGGUGAAAUGCGUAGAGAUCUGGAGGAAUACCGGUGGCGAAGGCGGCCCCCUGGACAAAGACUGACGCUCAGGUGCGAAAGCGUGGGGAGCAAACAGGAUUAGAUACUCUGGUAGUCCACGCCGUAAACGAUGUCGAUUUGGAGGUUGUGCCCUUGAGGCGUGGCUUCCGGAGCUAACGCGUUAAAUCGACCGCCUGGGGAGUACGGCCGCAAGGUU
rnacentral:rRNA from 1 species